rnacentral:lncRNA from 1 species
GAAAAGUGGGAUCCCGGGGAGGUUUUUAAUUUGCAUUGAUUUUCUAAUGAAUGCGGUUCAGCAUUCUUCCAAGGAGGCUCUGCGGUUUUUAGAGCUGGCUGCAGGAUCCUCCCUGGGGAGACGUGGUCUUUGCUGGGGCAGAGCCAGGCGCGGUGGUGGAGGUGGGUUUGAGUCUCGGGGAGCGCGCGGGAGCUGGGCACGGCCCCGUGCUUGAGAGGAUCUGGCAUUUUCCUGGGCAGCCUCGGCGAGAGAGAGUCGUGGAAGGCAAUACGGGAGGGGAGGCGGCACCCCCAUCGUGGCCUGGUUUGAGAUGUUCCCAGCCGUAGGAGACAGACUGUCAUCAAGUGUCGGAAAAUAGCUGUCAUGGGAAUCCUCACCUCCUGACACCUUCCCAGCCCCGUGCUCCCGAAACCCUCCCCGCGUGGCUGCAGAGUUGUAGGUUCUGCUCCUGGUGACGGGCAACCCCGUAAUCUCCAAUGCUCACGGCAGCUCUGCUGGGGCACAGCAGCUCCUGGGGGCCAAGGUCCCAGCCAGGACGUGGAUGUCAGGGCCGAGACUGGAAUGUAGAACCGUGGGAGUCCAGAGCCCAGGUCCUUCCCCACGAACCACCAGAUGUGGUGUGGGUUUCCUGGUUUCCGUUCUUGUUCAAGUGGAAUAAAAGGAAAAGGUGGGGGAGUGACAGCCACACCUAAUGUCCCCCCACCAUGGUGGGGGAUUUUUGUCUGUUCCCUUUGCUGCCGUGUCCCCCGUGCCUGGGAUGCGCCCAGUGCUGAACGAUGCCCCUUUGCACAUAUACAGUCUCACGCUGAUUGAUCUGGGUUUACUAAGUGUCAGUGAUUCACUCCCUUGAAAAUGGGAGCCCCAUUUUCAAUGUGUGACUCCCAUUGUGAUCGUAGGUUCUGGGGACCCACAGAGGACAGGCCCAGACCCUGAUCUCAAAAACGCCUCAGAGGCCAGGUGCGGUGGCUUACGCCUGUAAUCCCAGCACUUUGGGAGGCCGAGGUGGGUGGAUCACUUGAGGUCAGGAGUUCAAGACCAGCCUGGCCAACAUGGUGAAACCCCAUCUCUACUUGUGUGCAAACAGAGCUUGCUGGUCCUCGCACAUGGGACAGAAUGAGGGACAGGAGCAGGCCACCGGCUUUUCUGGUUUCUGAAGGAGUCUGUUGUGAAAUAUGCAAGUGCCUUCCGACCAUGCGCACCAGGCCCUCUGCCCUGGGGAACAAUGUGCUUCACGUUCCUUCAUUUUCAAGCUCCUGAAUGUUUCCAAACUAAAAUGUAAAUUUGGCCCCAUGUUUUGAGUCUUUGAUGUAUCCACGGAGCUCCCUCUGAAAUGCACUCAGCUCCAAGAGGAGGAAAAUCGACCUCUGUCUUCUGGGAACGCAUUACAGCGAGGGCUCUUGACCCUGGCUGCACAGCAGAAUCUCUAGGGAGAGCUUUUAAAAUAAAAUCGAUGCCCGGGCCCCAUCCCCAGACCUUGUGGUUUAAGUGGUCCAGGGUGGAGCUCGGCUCUGGGAAUUUCAAGACCUCCCCAGGGAUUUCUGCGGGCAGCUGGGCUGAGACCCAUCUCUCUGUGGUUGUGAAAAUACAACCUCGGGCCAGGCAUGGUUGCUCACGCCUAUAAUCCCAGCACUUUGGGAGGCUGAGGCAGGCAGAUCACUUGAGGUCAGGAGUUUGAGACCAGCCUGGCCAACAUGGUGAAACCCCGUCUCUACUAGAAAUACAAAAGAAAAAAGAAAUGCGAGCAUGGUGGCUCAAGCCUGUAAUCCCAGCACUUCGGGAGGCCAAAGCAGGUGGAUCACCUGAAUUAAGGAGAUCGAGACCAGUCUGGCCAACAUGGCGAAACCCCGUCUCUACUAAAAAUACGAAAAUUAGCCGAGUGUGGUGGUGCACACCUGUAAUCCCAGCUACUUGGGAGGCUGAGGCAGGAGAAUCGCUUGAACCCAGGAGGUGAAAGAAAGUUGCAGUGAUCCAAGAUCUUGUAACUGCACUCCAGCCUGGGUGACAAAGCAAGAUUCCAUUUCCAAAAAAAAAAAAAAAAAAAAAAAGAGAAAAAGAAAUACCAAAAAAAUUACCCAGGUGUGAUGGCACCUGUAAUCCCAGCUACUCAGGAGGCUGAGACAGAAGAAUCGCUUGAACCCGGAAGGUGGAGGUUGCAGUGAGCUGAGAUCGCGCCACUGCACCCCAGCCUGGGCGACAGAGCGAGAUUUCGUCUUAAAAACAAAAAAAAGAAAAAGAAAAAGAAAAUCCAACCUUGAUAGCUCCCAGAGGACUGAGAAAGGCAGCACUGAGUGGUUCAAACCCUGGGGUGCGGAUGGGAAACUGGGGUGAAAAUGCAAAGACCAGCUUUGUUGUCAAUAUUCGUUAGUGGUGGUGGGGGUGCUGUGGCUCAUGCCUGUAAUCCCAACACUUUGGGAGACCAUGGUGGGAGGAUUGUUUGAGACCAGGAGUUCAAGACCAGCCUGGGCAACAUAAAAAGACCUCAUCUCUACUAAAAAAAAAAAAAAAAAAAAAAUUGCCAGGCAUAGUGGCGUGCACCUGUGGUCCCAGCUGCUAGGAAGGCUGAGGUGGGAGGAUCCCUUGAACCCAGGAGGUAGAGGCUGCUGUGAGCCACGAUCACGCCACUGCACUCCAGUCUGUGUGACAGAGUGAGACCCUGUCUCAAAAAAAAAAAAAAAAAAAAAGAAAACUGUGAACUGUUGCACAAAUGUAAGGUUUGAUGUUAUCUUCUUCCAUGUACUGUCAACUCCUUAAGGGUGGGAAUGGUGUCUUUUUUUUUUGCUCCCUCCAUGGCACCCCCCACCCCCAUCCUGCGCUCAACACAGGACUGGGUGUAGAGAUGACCUCAUAAAACACACUGCACGGUAACUUGCAUGGUGGCUUAGCAAACAAGAGGUGCUUAAUAAAUGGUAGCUAACGACAAUGAAAAAAAGUGUUUCCCAAACGUUGACAGCCAAGCCCCAACUGUGGGUUCAGCAGGGGUCAGAUGCUGUUCAGAGCGACCCCACCCUGAAGCUCCCUGUCACAGCCGGGAAUAAGGGGAGGCAAAGUUGGGGCAGCAGACAGGAGAGUCUGACUUUGCUUAGCGUUCAAGGAAGCCUCAGGGGAGAGGUAGGGAAGUGACACAAAACAGACAUGGGAGGCUGGGCGCAGUGGCUCCUGCCUAUAAUCCCAGCACUUUGGGAGGCCAAGGCGGGCGGAUCACCUGAGGUCAGGAGUUCGAGACCAGCCUGGUCAACAUGGUGAAACCCUGUCUUUACCAAAAAUACAAAAAUCAGCUGGGCAUGGUGGUGGGCACCUGUAAUCCCAGCUACUCGGGAGGCUGAGGCAGGAGAAUCGCUUGAACCUGGGAGACGGAGGUUGCAGUGAGCCGAGAUUGCGCCACUGCACUCCAGCCUGGGCGAAAGAGCGAAACUCCGUCUCAAACAAACAAAGACAUGGGAAAGGGCAUUCCAGGCUGGGACCCAGCAGUGCAAACGCGUGGUGCUGCAUUUGGGACUAUCUUCGAGUUCGCCGUGGCCAAGAAUACACCAGGGUGGGCAUGGGAGGUGGGUGAGAUUUUUUUUUUUUUUUUAAGCCUGGAGGGGGUCAGGUUACAUGCAGCCUCCAAUGCUCAGUGGAGGGCCUGGGAUUCUUAUCUUGGGUGGGGGCACAGGGCCACUGGAGGGCUGUGAGGAGAAAGGGACAGGGUCAGCUCUGGGUCCCGGAGGACCCCUCUGAGGACUGGAGGAGAGAGAGAGAAGGCUGGGGUGAGGGUCCAGUGGGGGAGGAAGCCCAGGCAGGGAGGAGGGAGGAAGUGGCCAGGACCCCCCGCCCCCCGGUCUCAAAAAAUUGUGGUUUUGAGUGAGACUCUGUCUCAAAAACAGACAGACAGACAGACAAACAAACAAACAGUUGUGGUUUUGCCAAAACCAAAGUUAUUUCUUGCGCUCAACCCUUAAGGCAACCAAUUUCUGGCUGAGAAAAUAGUGCAACACCGCCACUAUGUGGUUAUUUGGAGUUUUGCAGCCAAGAAUUUGAAAGUAAAGCCAGCCUCCAAAUCGGGAAGCUUUUGAGAACUUCAGGAGGGCACUAUUGCCACUGACGCUAAAACAUUAGCCUAAAAUGUUGGUGAUCCACAAAACUUCUAUUAAUUCGAGAUAAAAUUAUAGUGCAACUAUGAAUGUUUAUUACUGAAAUUUGGGGCCAAGCGCGGUGGCUCACACCUGUAAUCCCAGCACUUUGAGAGGCCGAGGCGGGCAGAUCACUAAGUUAGGAGUUCAAGACCAGCCUGGCCAACAUAAUGAAACCCUGUCUCUACAAAAAAUGCAAAACUUAGCCAGGCGUGGUGGCGGGUGCCUAUAGUCCCAGCUACUUGGGAGGCUGAGGUAGGAUAAUUGCUUGAACCUGGGAGGUGGAGGUUGCAGUGGGCCGAGAUCGCGCUAGUGCACUCCAGCCUGAGUUUAACAGAGCGAGACUCCAUCUCAAAUAAAAUACAAUAAAAUAAAAAGAAAUUGGUGAGGCCGGGCACAGUGGCUCAUGCCUGUAAUCCCAGUACUUUGGGAGGCUGGGGCAGGUGGAUCACCUGACGUUGGGAGUUCGAGACCAGCCUGACCAACAUGGAGAAACCCCAUCUCUACUAAAAAUACAAAAUUAGCCAGGCGUGGUGGCGCAUGCCUGUAAUCCCAGCUACUCGGGAGGCUGAGGCAGGAAAAUUGCUUGAACCCAGGAGGUGGAGGUUGCAGUGAGCUGAGAUUGCACUGUUGCACUCCAGCCUGGGCAACAAGAGCAAAACUCUGGGAAGAAG